CGUUCGCGAUCCGUUUCCAGUAUCUGGUGGAGGCUAUAAAAGGGGAGGAGACGGACCCCUUCAGCCAUCAAUCUCUCGGAGGCAAGUCCCACGGGAAGAAGAAGAGGAAACAUGGGAGGGAGUGAGCCACGGGAACAUGAGAGAAUAAAAAAAAUAAGAGGAGAGAGAAGAGUUUUGUUAUUUUGGGAAUAUUUCAAAGAAAGAAAUCAUGAAGGAAGAGAUGGGAGCCUGCUGCUGUGCUGCUGCUGCCGUCUCCAACUCCAUGCAGGGCUGAUCUCCUCACUAGGGCUGGAUGCAACCCUAACAAAGGGUGCCAAGGAUUUUUAUAUUUUGAUUUCUAUUCUUGGAGUUGUAUAAAUCUUAUUCUGCUUCUAAUGAAUAUUUUAUUUCAUCUCAUAUUUAAUUUCUGUGAUUUUAAAUAUGAAGUUUAUACAACUGCUCUUCAUGAUCAUUGAAGUAAAAAUAAGAUAGUUGAGGAUGAUAGUGUUAUUUUGAUGAUUAACAAGGAAUUAUCUAGAGCAUGCUAUAAGUUAAAUUGAUACUUCAUUUAUAAGUUCAUUACUCUCAGUACAUUUGUUUAAUUGAAAAUAUAUAUAUGGUCUUGUUCAUUUGGAUGAAUCUAACC
rnacentral:lncRNA from 1 species